rnacentral:rRNA from 1 species
CGGGAUCCAUCAAGCUUGCUUGGUGGUGAGAGUGGCGAACGGGUGAGUAAUGCGUGACCGACCUGCCCCAUGCUCCGGAAUAGCUCCUGGAAACGGGUGGUAAUGCCGGAUGUUCCACAUGAUCGCAUGUGAUUGUGGGAAAGAUUCUAUCGGCGUGGGAUGGGGUCGCGUCCUAUCAGCUUGUUGGUGAGGUAACGGCUCACCAAGGCUUCGACGGGUAGCCGGCCUGAGAGGGCGACCGGCCACAUUGGGACUGAGAUACGGCCCAGACUCCUACGGGAGGCAGCAGUGGGGAAUAUUGCACAAUGGGCGCAAGCCUGAUGCAGCGACGCCGCGUGAGGGAUGGAGGCCUUCGGGUUGUAAACCUCUUUUGUUUGGGAGCAAGCCUUCGGGUGAGUGUACCUUUCGAAUAAGCGCCGGCUAACUACGUGCCAGCAGCCGCGGUAAUACGUAGGGCGCAAGCGUUAUCCGGAUUUAUUGGGCGUAAAGGGCUCGUAGGCGGCUCGUCGCGUCCGGUGUGAAAGUCCAUCGCUUAACGGUGGAUCUGCGCCGGGUACGGGCGGGCUGGAGUGCGGUAGGGGAGACUGGAAUUCCCGGUGUAACGGUGGAAUGUGUAGAUAUCGGGAAGAACACCGAUGGCGAAGGCAGGUCUCUGGGCCGUCACUGACGCUGAGGAGCGAAAGC